UGAGGAAUAUUGCGCAAUGGGGGCAACCCUGACGCAGCAACGCCGCGUGAGUGAGGAAGGUUUUCGGAUUGUAAAGCUCUGUCGAGCGGAAAGAAAUGCUUGGUGGUUAAUACCCAUCAGGCUUGACGGUACCGCUAAAGGAAGCACCGGCUAACUCCGUGCCAGCAGCCGCGGUAAUACGGGGGGUGCAAGCGUUGUUCGGAAUCAUUGGGCGUAAAGCGCGUGUAGGCGGCUUAACAAGUCAGUGGUGUAAUCCCUGGCUUAACCCAGGAAGUGCAUUUGAAACUGUUUGGCUUGAGGAAGGGAGAGGAAAGUGGAAUUCCUGGUGUAGAGGUGAAAUUCGUAGAUAUCAGGAGGAACACCGGUGGCGAAGGCGACUUUCUGGCCCUAUACUGACGCUGAGACGCGAAAGCGUGGGUAGCAAACA
rnacentral:rRNA from 1 species